GUACGGGAGGCAGCAGUGGGGAAUAUUGCACAAUGGAGGAAACUCUGAUGCAGCGACGCCGCGUGGGUGAUGAAGGCCUUCGGGUUGUAAAGCCCUGUCGGCUGGGAACAAGGUAGACGUGCUCAUACCACGUUUGCUUGAGUGUACCAGCAAAGGAAGCACCGGCUAACCCUGUGCCAGCAGCCGCGGUAAUACAGGGGGUGCUAGCGUUGUUCGGAAUUACUGGGCGUAAAGGGCGCGUAGGUGGCUUAAUAAGUCAGGAGUGAAAUCCCGGAGCUUAACUCCGGAAUUGCUUUUGAAACUAUUAGGCUUGAGUAUGUUAGAGGAAAUCGGAAUUCCUAGUGUAGAAGUGAAAUUCGUAGAUAUUAGGAAGAACACCGGUGGCGAAGGCGGAUUUCUGGGACAUAACUGACACUGAGGCGCGAAAGCGUGGGGAUCAAACAGGAUUAGAUACCCGCGUAGUCC
rnacentral:rRNA from 1 species